rnacentral:rRNA from 1 species
AGCGAACGCUGGCGGCAGGCUUAACACAUGCAAGUCGAGCGGGCAUCCUUGUGGUGUCAGCGGCAGACGGGUGAGUAACGCGUGGGAACGUGCCCUUCGGUUCGGAAUAACUCAGGGAAACUUGAGCUAAUACCGGAUACGUGCGAGAGCAGAAAGGUUUAUCUGCCGAAGGAUCGGCCCGCGUCUGAUUAGCUAGUUGGUGAGGUUAUGGCUCACCAAGGCGACGAUCAGUAGCUGGUCUGAGAGGAUGAUCAGCCACACUGGGACUGAGACACGGCCCAGACUCCUACGGGAGGCAGCAGUGGGGAAUAUGGGACAAUGGGGGCAACCCUGAUCCAGCCAUGCCGCGUGAGUGAUGACGGCCUUAGGGUUGUAAAGCUCUUUUCUUCGGGACGAUAAUGACGGUACCGGAGGAAUAAGCCCCGGCUAACUUCGU